GGAGAAGUGUCUGAGUGGUCGAAAGAGCACGCCUGGAAAGUGUGUAUACGCCAAAAGUGUAUCGAGAGUUCGAAUCUCUCCUUCUCCG
rnacentral:tRNA from 1 species